CCAGCUCCGGAAGCAUUUGACGGCUGAGGACCACUGGAGGACUGGUUUUACGUUUUGAAACGCAAAGAUAUUCGUAUUUCUUAUUUAUUUAGUUCCGUUCAGUGCACUUUAGUGAUUGAAUUGAUGAAUUGAAAAGAAACAAAGAUGAAAAUUAUGUUUCUACUGAUUCAUAAACAAGAAAACUUGUUAACAAUGAGUGCAGAUAACUUUUCUACAACAACGGAAUGAAAAAAUGUUUCAGCUGUGUGAAUCAAGGUCUGGACUUAGAGGAUCAUCACACGAGUUAAACAAGGAAUUUCUUCUGGUUGGACAUUUAACAAGUUUCUCAGUUUUCAGUACAAUGUAGCCAGCAAUGUAUGCUAGGCAUUGGUUGGUGAAGUGGUCUUUCAACUGACUAGCAUGGAAUUCCUCAUCAGAACAUAUUACUUCAAUAUCCAUCAUGAUAUCCUGAUCAACUGUGAGUUCGUUAACAUCAGAUACAUUAUCUACUGGCAUAAGGGAACAGUUGGAUGACAGUGAAGGGAGCAUUUGGAUUAUUAUUCAAUCCACAACGAAGUCGAAUGAUCCCAAAAAAGUGUUCCAAUGGGUCCUGCUGCAUGUGCCUAGUGGCUACAUAACUCAAUGGGUUGUUCUGCCGAUGAAGAAGCUGGUGGGCUAGAGUUAUAGUUGAUCGUAUCGUUGCGAUAAAUCCAAUAAUACAGGUUUUCCUUCUACUUGUGUAGACUAAUCUGCCACUUGGAAGUUUUAGUUUAGCUAAAAAGAGCGCUAACUCAUUAAGCUCUUUAGUCUUCUCCUCUAGGUUUUCUUUGGUAAGAACCGCUUUGUCACCAUUUGCUUGAACAUUCCAUGAGUUCAGGAUAUCGAAAAGCUUAUUGAAUUGCCGACAGAACUGUUCGGUGGCCUCACUUCCUUGAAACUAUGUUACCUGAGGAACUUUUAGUACUUCUCGUAAAUGUCGGAGCACAUCUGCCACGGAUCUACUCAAAACUUGAGCAGCGAGAGCCACCUUCAUCUUAUGUCGCUCGAAGUAUGCGUGUUGUCUUGUAAGUCGAUUACCGAGACGAAAUCCAGCCUCAUUUUGGAAUUGAAAGAGAGCCUUGAUGUACUUCCACUGUGCUGGAUCUUGAUAUCCAGGUAACUUCACCGGUGAAAAAGACAGUAGAUUCCUUGCCAACUUCAGCAUGUGGCACGCAUCAAGUAAAACAUUUACUGGUUCUCCGGUAGAAGGAUGCACGAAGUUUGGUUUAAACGGGCAAGUCAAU
rnacentral:misc_RNA from 1 species